UGGCAAAGAGUAGCUCAUUUUGAUGCCUCUCGCUACCCCUGGCCUUAGUUUUGAAGGAAUCAUGCGACACACUCGCACUCCACUACCCCAUCCCAUGGAAAAACGCUCCCACCAUUGAGGUGUUGACCAAAAUUUCGCUGUGUGCAUGAGACACACACUCGCACUCCUCCAGCCCUCCACAGCUGAACGCUCCCACCGUUGCGAAUUUGCGAGAAUUUUUGCUCUGAGCGUGAGACCCUGAAGCGCCAGAGAUGACACUAUGUGUAAAGACGAUCAUAAUUCGGUAUGGUCAAAAUGCGUCGUUUGUCGUUUCAUUUAUCUGGUAAUGAUGUUUUCACUUCAUCAAAAUUUUAAACAUUAACAACUAGGCUGAUAACAAUAAUUGAAAUGUGAAUCAGAAUAAAUUAAAUUCAUUUGAAGUAAAAUGAAUUCCAUUAUACUCUAUUUUGAUCAAAUGAUCAACACUUGUACAUAGUGCCAUUUACUUUGUGUUCUUCACUCUCGCGCUGUGUUGUGAUCGUUCGAAACUCAUUGCCAGAACGAAUGCAAAUUUCAUUUGGGAAGGAUCGGUGCCGGAAGAUGCAGUGAAAAUUAUAAAAUGUUUAUAGAAAAGUGGUUAAGUAAAUCGUGAAAGAUGUAAACGCAGGCGCAACUGCAGUUUGUUUUGUUACAUGAUCUACGGCUAUCUCAUUACCAAAGCAUCUGAUAGCCGAUCAAAGAAGGUGAAUCGGGCUUACAGAGUCGCCGUUUAAAUUCAAAUAUCUUCGUGAUCGAAAAACGCAUCAAACAACAAGUGUUUUUCUUCCAACAGCACGCGCCAUCGGUGGAGCAAGCAGCCAACGUUUUGAUCGCCAGUACGCGCCAUCAAGAAUUGAAAUAUUCCCGAAUAGCUCUGUGAAUAAAAAAAC